ACGGGUGAGUAAUACAUCAGAACGUGUCCUGGAGUGGGGGAUAGCCCGGCGAAAGCCGGAUUAAUACCGCAUACGCUCUAAGGAGGAAAGGGGGGGAUCUUAGGACCUCUCGCUCAAGGGGCGGCCGAUGGCAGAUUAGCUAGUUGGUGGGGUAAAGGCCUACCAAGGCGACGAUCUGUAGCUGGUCUGAGAGGACGACCAGCCACACUGGGACUGAGACACGGCCCAGACUCCUACGGGAGGCAGCAGUGGGGAAUUUUGGACAAUGGGCGCAAGCCUGAUCCAGCAAUGCCGCGUGUGUGAAGAAGGCCUUCGGGUUGUAAAGCACUUUUGUCCGGAAAGAAAACCCCUGCCCUAAUACGGCGGGGGGAUGACGGUACCGGAAGAAUAAGCACCGGCUAACUACGUGCCAGCAGCCGCGGUAAUACGUAGGGUGCGAGCGUUAAUCGGAAUUACUGGGCGUAAAGCGUGCGCAGGCGGUUCGUUAAGACAGAUGUGAAAUCCCCGGGCUUAACCUGGGAACUGCAUUUGUGACUGGCGGGCUAGAGUAUGGCAGAGGGGGGUAGAAUUCCACGUGUAGCA
rnacentral:rRNA from 1 species